rnacentral:lncRNA from 1 species
UAAAAUAGAACAAUUUGUCAUGAUCUGUACUAAACCAUAGUUCUUUAACUCUGGAAAUUCUGCAAAAUUACGAGAACAUUUGCAAUUUGCAGUAUAAUACCGAGUAAAAAUUUCAGAAUGUAUCACAUUCUAGUAUAAAAUGUAAAUUCAAAUAAUUAUGAUAUAGAAAAAAAUCAAUUCACAUCUUCCGAGACGAAGUGCCGCCGUCUCGGGGCGGAACCUGGGCAAGAGCACUUUUGUUCUCCGGCGGAGCGAUUUCAUUGUGAUAAGGACAUGGCUACCUUGGAUAUGACCAAAAAUAUUUCAUAUUUGCAAAUUUAUGAGGUGAUUUCUUAUUAUAAUUAUGCAAUAAUUUAUUUAUGUUACUCAGAACAAAAAUAUUUCUCCUAUUUUUACCCCAUUCCUAAAUGCAGAAUUGUCGAACGCUUGUACGAACCACGUGUGAAGAUAAAGAAAGAGGAAAUGAUUAAGUGUUGUUGAAGAAGUCAUAUCACAUCAAAGGAAAUGAUUAUGUGUUGUUUAAGAAGUUCUGUCACGCCACUUUUAGCGCAAGAGAAGAUAAAGUCCAAGUCUCUCACGUUCUGGACUCAGAUUCGGACUGCACAGGCAUACCUAGGUCAAAAGGUCAACAACUUUUUCAUACGGACUCCAGAUUGGGUGAUUCUUUUUUAUUGGAAAGUAUAUUUUAUGUAAGUUCCAACCAAAUAGGAAUCACCUUAAAAUUAGUUUGGAGCAUGGAGAUAUUGACGAAAGAAUCUGACGUUGCACCAGAAUCCGAGUCAAACUAUAAGUCCAAAGGUGCAUCACCUCCACUUGGGCCCAUUGGCCUUGUACGACCUAGGGUUAGUUUUAGGCUGCCUUGGGACGUCCUCCCACCUCCUUGACCGCCAUCCCUUUAUCAUAUAUAAGUAGAUCAACCUAGUAGCUUUUUCCUUGGAAUUUGUUUAGUUAAAAGUUAGUCAUUGCAACUUCUUGUACUUCGUUUGCGUCCGACGACCAGACCAAGACCGUUUUCGGAUCCGUAGCCUUAUCAAUACUUCAUAUAUAUUUGUAAUAUUCAGAUUGAUUUUAUCAUAUUCUUGCUUGUUCUUCGAUAUCUUGUAGGAAGAGACCUUCGUGGUCAGGUUGAUCAUGAUCCGGCGUGGUCAAUAACAUCUUGGAGUUGGUUUAGAGAUUGUUAAGGCACAACGUCGUGCAUGUUUGUAGUCGGAUCGUCAAAGUUGUCUCAACCAAAUAAGUAGCCACCAUCUGAUCUGUUGGAGAGAAGAAAAAAAAUUAAGAUAAAAAAAGAGAAUAAAAAAGAAAAAAAAGAGAGAUAAAAAAGAGAGAAGAUACAAAAAACAAAUUCUGGAUCUAUCUAGACUCAAUCCCAUAUUUGAAUUCGGAUUGAAAACUCUUUUGUGCAGUGUUCAGUGAAACAAGUGUAACUUCCUCAUACGAAGUUCGUUUUGGAUCCACGAGUACUCAAACUCGAGCUAUCGACGAGCCACAUAUUAAUAGUUAAUCAAGCUAUUUCAUUAUUGUCACCUCAAAAUCGGCUUCUAAAUAGGAUUUUUUCCCUCUGAAGGCCGCCAACACAGUUUUUCAAUACUUUUUGGGCCCGUCCCCAAAUUUUUUGACUCCUCAUAUGAAAUUUGAAUUGAGUAAUUCUUUUUGCACUAACAAACUUGGGUGAGUGGCAAUCUUGAGAAAAAAUAUCACAAAUUUGACAUAAUAUUUUUCUAAGGAAAGUCGUAGAGGAAGUUUUGUGAUCUUCACUUAUAUCUCGCUAUUUAGAGCUACUUCAUAUCAUCCGUUGUUGAUACUUGUGGUAUGCCGUGACUCCCUUAAUGUUCUAGGCUCGCGCCUCUAGUAAGGUCUAGCCUAGGACCAACACAGUACUGUCGUUGAGUGUUUAUUCAACAUUGCAUCUCUAAAUUGAUUAUUGCGAAUGUUUUGCUACCAUAUAGUAAGCCUUCCUAGCUCCACAUAUUUCUACACUGUGUAUACAUACGUUUACUUGGUAAUCACUUUACUCAAUCUUCAGAGGUAUUGACACCGCGGGUUGCGGGUCACCGCCUGCUGCAUGGUAAGAAUUUGUAAGACAUUGAUAUUUGCUUUAAUAUGAGCGUUUUACCACCACAUCUUAGUAGUUCAUAGGAACAAUAUUCUUGUUUUUCUCUACUAGUCAUGACAAGAUCCAGAGUUAUCAAUUCAUGGGCUUCUUCGAUCGUGGGAGAUGUGCCACCAAAACAAACCGUUACGAGAGGUGCAUAGAGAUCCAAAUGCGCACGAUGAGGUUAAUAUUUCUAUACCACCAUUUAUUGACCGUUUUGGACCUCUUUUUAUAUUGAAUGGGAAUUUGAAAAAAUGAUAUAUUUGCUUCCCAUAAUUUUGCUGAACAUAAGAAAGUUAAGGUCGCAGGUUGUUCUUUCACUGGUUAUGCUUCAAUUUGGUGGAGCGGAUAUUGGCGGUUACACCCUGAUUAUAUACCUACUACUUGGGAUGAUUUAAAACUUGCCAUGAGACACACAUUCAUUCCUUCCUAUUAUACUCAAGACAUGAUUAAAAAGCUACACCAUUUAAAACAAGGUAGUGACACCGUAACAAAAUAUUAUGAUGAUUUACAAACAAACUUGUUGCAUUCCUCAUUAGAAGAAAGUAAAGAAGAUUUUAUGGAUAGAUUUUGGGGAGGAUUAAGCCAUUAUAUUCAGGAGAUAGUAAUUCAUGAAAAGUGUUAUCCUAUGGAUCAUUUAUUUCGUCUUGCUUGCAAAGCUAAAUAGAAAAUAAAACAACGUGUUGCCCACAAGGAGAACGAGCACAAGGUGCAUAUUCCAAGAGUUGAUAUGGUUGUUCCUUGAACUACUGGGUGUACGAUGACAACCACAUCAAUUGCUAUGAGGGCUACAUCACCUUCACCAUGUGACACGUUACCAUCGAGAGUGCCUACAUCAUCUGAGUUGAUCAUAAAAGGUAAUGACAAAAGGUACUUAUCUUCCACCUCCACAUGAGUAUGAUGAAUGCUUUGUCAAUUGCAGUGUACCCUCUGCUGAGCUACCCAUUACUUUGGUCACACCACUUAUUUUAGAGGACUAUAUUCAUAAUUUGACUUUGUCAUGUGAUCAAAUAACUACAAUAUCAACAAUGUUGAGUGAACCAUUGAAUUAACCGUUGAUGAUAAAGAACCAUGUGAAUCAGAAAAUAAAUCAAAUUUGCGUCAAAUAUUUUUUAAAAAAUUAUGCCAAUGUUUAAUCAUUUUGAUAUGACCAAUAAUCUUGGUGAUGAUUCCAUGUCAAAUGACUUGUUGCAUGUUUGUUUAUUUAAGCAUGUUGUACCAUGUAAAUUUGAAACAAUGAAAGUGUAUUCACCAAUGUUAGGAUGGUUUAAUGAUGAACAUUGUCAAUUUUUUGAUGUGAAUAAGGACUUCACUUAUAUGUGCAAAGUGAGUUGCAAUAUUUUCAUGCCUUCUACUUCUUGUGAUAAUAUUUUGGAUUUAUAUUUAAUAAUAUAUGAAAGUUACUCAUGUAUACAUGUGUCAUAUGUGCAAAAAACAAGGGAAGUAAAAAUAGAUGACAUAUACAUAUACAACAUGUAUGCUUUGUCUCUUUUGUUGGCCAUAUUUCAGAUUAAGCAACGCCGAGGACGGCUUUGUUUUCAAGAAGGGAGGAUGAUGAGGACAUGCUACCUUGGAUACGACCAAAAAUAUUUCAUAUUUGCAUAUUUUUUAAGUGAUUUCUUAUAAUAAUUAUUCAAUAAUUUAUUUAUGUUAUCCGGAACAAAAAUACUUCACCUAUUUUUACUCCAUGCCUAAAUGCAGAAUUAUCGAACGCUUGCACGAACCACGUAUGAAGAUAAAGGAAGAGGAAAUGAUUAAGUGUUGUGCAAUAAGUCCUCUCACAUCAAAGGAAAUGAUUAUGUGCUGUUUAAGAAGUUCUCUCACACCACUUUUAGCCCAAGAGAAGAUAAAGUCCAAGCCUCUGAUGUUCUGGACUCAGAUUCGGACUGCACAGACAUACCUGACUCAAAACGUGAACAACUUUUUCAUACGAACUCUAAAUUGGAUGGUUCCUUUUUUGUUGGAAAGUAGAUUUUAUGUAUGUUGCAGCCCAAUUGGGAUCACCUAAAAUUCGUUCAGAGACUGGAGAUAUUAACAAAAGCAUCUGACGCUGCAUCAAACUCCGAAUCAAACUACAAGUCCAAAGGUGUUGCAUCACCUCCACUUGGGCCCAUAGGCCUUGUACGACCUAGGGUUAGUUUUAGGCUGCCUUGGGACGUCCUCCCACCUCCUUGGCCACCACCCCUUACUCCUAUAUUACUAGGUCAACCUAGUAGCUUUUUGCUUGGGAUUUGUUUAGUUACAAGUUAGCCAUUGCAACUUCGUGUACUUUGUCUGUGUCCAACGACUAGACCAAGAUCGCUUUCGGAUCCCCAGUCUUUAUCAAUACUUCAUUUAUAUUCGCAAUAUUAAUAUUUCUUUUACCAUAUUCUUGCUUGUUCUUCAAUUUCUUGCAGGAAGAGACCUUCGUGGUCAGGUUGAUUGUGCUCCAGCGUGGUCAAUAACCUCUUGGAGUUGGUUUAGCGAUUGCUAAGGUGUAACUUAGUCAUAUCAUCAAAGUUGUCUCCUCCAAAUCGAUAGCCACCAUCUCAUCGAAAGAUCGGCUCCCUCGCCUCUAUCACAUCGUGGAUCCUUCCCUCCGAGAGGGGAAAUCAAAGCCAUCUUCAUCACCAACGCUUCCUCCAACGUGGGAGGACUCAUCUCCAUCAACAUCUUCACCAGCAUCAUCUCAUCUCAAACUCUAGUUCAUAUCUUGCAUUCAAUCUUUAUCUCUAAACCUCAGAUUGGUACCCGUGGGUUGUUAGUAGUGUUGAUUACACCUUGUAGUUUAUGUUAAUUGGUUUAUUUGGUGGACAAUUACAUGUUCAAAUCGUUAAGCCUAUCCAAUACCCAUCUGACCUUGAACGUCAACAUAACUUGUGAGUAGUUAUUAUUGUUCUUGAGGACACGGGAGAAGUCAUGUUAUAAACUAUCACGUGAAGUUGGCAUUCGUUCAAUAUUUUGCUGACAUGUACGUUGUGUUUCCUCUAGUGGUGUCAUGUGAAUGUCAACUAGAUUACACUUCACUAUAUUUGGGACUAGAGGGAAGCAUUGUGGAACAGGAAGUAUAUGACGGGUUGCAAGAGUGACAAAAACUUAAACCCUAGUUUAUGUACUAUUUUGUAAGGGACUGAUUUGGAUCCUUAAUUCUUCACUUGUAGUUGCGGAUGCUUGCAAAAGUGGGUAAUCAUAAGUAGGUUGCUUGUUCAAGCAAGAACAACACCUUAGCACUAGUCCACACACAUUGCAAUUUAUCAAAGUAAUGAAUACAAAUCAACUAAAACAUGAUAGACAUGACUAGAGAAUAUUCCCAUGUGUCCUCGAGAAUGCUUGCUCACUAUAAGAAACACUUUUGGCUUGUCCUUUGUAUAAAUAAGGAUUGGGCUACCUUGCUUCACUUUCCUACUACUGAUACUUGUCACUUGGUAUGAAUUUUCUUGCUACCAAAUUACACAUUACUACUAUUUUUAGUACUCGCCAAGAAUACCUUACUAAAAUCCGCUUACGAUUUUUUCAGCUCCUCGUUGGUUUGACACUCUUACUUAUUGAAAGGUUUACGAUUGAUCCCCUAUACUUGUAGGUCAUCAAGACUCUUUCUGGCACCGUUGUCGGGGAGUGAUGCGCCUUUGGUAAGGAAACAUUUACAUUGAGUGCUAAAAUUUGCCUCAACCUGUUACUAUGGAAAGUAAUCCUUCGAGAGACUUGUUUGGGGGUAUAUUCACCUCGACCGGAAGAUGCAAGAGCCAUUACUCAACCUACUGAAAAUAUUUUUUAUGAGAUCCCUUCGGGCAUUUUAGAGAAACUGCUAGUUAAUCCUUAUGCAGGAGAUGGAACAAUAGAUCCUGAUAUGCACUUAAUCUGUAGAGAUGAAGUAUGUGGAUUGUUCAAGCUUGCAGGUUUAUCCGAAGAUGGAGUUAAGAAGAAGGUACUUUAUAUUUAAGAAAAAAUCAUUGGCAUGGUAUAGGCUAUUGUGUGAAUCUGGAUCAUGGGACUGGAACUGAUUGAAGCUAGAAUUCCAUCAGAAAUUUUAUGCUAUAAAUCUUGUUCACCGUGAUCAAAAUUACAUAUAUAAUUUAUGGCCUCGCAAAGGAGAAAACAACGCUCUAGCUUGUGGGAGGCUUAAAUAUAUGUUACAUACAUGCCACAAUCGUGAGCUUUCGAGAGUAAUAAUUAUUGAAAAGUUUUAUGAUCGCCUUCCUCAUGAUGAUAAAGCAAUGCACGCCGCUUCUUCUACUGGUUCUUUUAUGAAGAAAAGCAUUGAAUUUUGAUGGGUUAUUAUUGAAAGAACUAAACACAACUCUAAAUAUUGGGAAAUCGAUGAAGGUAAUGAGUUAGGUAUGAAUCUUGAGUUUAAUUGUGUUAAGUGUUUUGUAGAAACAUAUGAUUUUCAUAAGCUUAGUAGAAAAUAUUGACUUGACCCUGAUAUAGUCGCUGCAUUAUGUGAAUCCUUUGCUACUUAUAUUGAUCUUCCUUAGGGGAAGUGGUUUAAGUUUCAUGUGCCUGUUGAAAUUACUUAUGAAGAACUACCUAUUUUUGAAACUGAAGCUAUUUCCUAUUCUGCCAAUCUAGUUGUACCCGCUGCUUACAUUGAAGAACCACCUUUCCCCAUUAGGAUUAAGGAACAUGCUAAAGCUACAACUAUGGUUCAUAAAAGUAAUACUAAAACACUCAAACCUUUUAAGGAAAUUAAUAUAGGACCUUCUAUUGCAAUGGUCAAGGAUCCCUUGGUUGAUAAUAUCGACGGACAUGUUAUUUACUUUUGUGACAAAGCUGCUGGAAUUGAUAAACUUGUUAGAAACGAAAAAGAUCUUUAAGAUAAGAAUAAGAAAGUUGUUGGCAUUACCGUUGUUCUUGUUAAGAUAGGAGGUUAUUUCUAUCAAGGUUUGUGUGAUAUGGGUGCCAAUAUUAAUGUUAUCCCUUACUCUUUAUAUCAAGAAGUCAUGCAUGAUAUUGCACCUACUAAGAUAAAGGAUAUUGACGUUACUAUUAAGCUUGCUAAUUGAGACACUAUUUCACCGCUUGGGAUUGUUAGAGAUCUUGAAGUUUUACGAGACAAGAUUAAAUACCCUACAGUUUUCCUAGUACUUUGUUAACAUCAAGAUAAUUUCAGUCGCAUUAUCUUUGGAAGGCCUUUUUAAACAUUGUUAAUGCUAAAAUUGAUUAUGUUAAGUAUAUCUCAUGAAUUUAAUUUCUCCAAGUUUAAUAGAAACCUCAUGUAAAGGAAUUUCCUAGUAAAUAUGAGAUCAUAGGUCUUGCUACUAUUUUGUUCCUCCCUUAGAUACUUUAUAACAAUAUUUGCUAAGCCAUGAGAAUGAUAUGUACAUGGUUGAAAGAAAUAAAAUAGAUGAUAUACUGUGUAGACAAACACCUAUCCUAAAACAUAAUCUACGUGUAGAAACCUUAGGGGAUCCUCUUCCACCUAAGAGCAAUCUAGUGUUUGAAUUAAAGACAUGCCACAAUACUUUGAAAUAUGCAUAUCUUAAUGAAAACAAGAUAUGCCAUGUUAUUAUUCAUGCUAACUUUUCAAUACACGAAGAAAAGAGGUUAUGGAAAACUUUGAGGAAGCAUCAAGCUCCAACUGGAUAUAUGAUAGAUGACCUUAAGGGCAUCAACCCUACCCUAAUAUGGAGCCUGAUGCUAAACCAGUUCCUGAUCAUCAAUGCCGCUUGAAUCCAAAAAUGAAGGAUGUGGUAAGAACUAAAAUAUUAAAGCUUCUAGAAGGAAAUAUUAUUUAUCAUAUAACUGAUAGUAGAUGGGUGUGUGUCCCUAUGAAAGUUGGAAUUGCUGUUGUUCUUAAUGAUAAAAAUGAACUCAUACCUCAAAGAAUUGUAUUCGAUUAUAUAUAUGAUGGUAAUUGAUUUCAGGAAAUUAAAUAAAGCUACUAGAAAGAUCACUACCUGUUACCCUUCAUUCAUUAGAUGUUAGAAAGACUAUCAAAACACACACACUUUUGCUUUCUAGAUGGAUACUCCGUGUUUUCUCAAAUACGUGUAUUACAAGAAGACCAAGAGAAAACUACUGUCAGAACUUAUGCUUAUUGCCUUUUGGUUUAUGUAAUUGUUACUUGUGAUUUGCGUUGUGUCCUUCGUGAAGAGGAUUGGGUGAUGUAGCAAAAUAUAGAUAAGUAUUUCCCUAAAUAGAUAACCAAGGUUUAUCAAACCAAUAGGAGUACAACCAGCCCCCGUCGUCAGCGACUGCAUACAAAGAAGCAAACACUUGCACUCAACGCGGGAAAGAGGGUUAUCAAUCCCCUUGGACUAGUUAUUUGCAAGCAAAUAAAGUGUGUAGAUGAAAGUUGAUAAUUGCAAAGUAAAUAAAGAAACAAGGUAAUUGUAGCGUUUGUAAAUUUAUAAGUGAAUAGACCCAGGGGCCGUAGUUUUCCCUAAUGGCAUCUCUCAUGUAGUAGGCAUACGGUGGGUAAACAAAUUACUGUUGGACAAUUGAUAGAAAAGCGCAUAGUUAUGUGAUAUUCACGACAAUGAUCAUGUAUAUAUAGGCAUCACGUCCAUAAGCAAAUAGGCCAACUCCUUCCUCCAUCUAUUACUAUUGCUCCACCCAUCGACCACUAUCCAGCAUGCAUCUAGAGUAUUAAGUAAAACACAGUAAUGUUUGGAGAACAAUGACAUGAUGUAGAAAAAUAGAAGUCAAUUAAUAUGAACUAACCCCAUCGUUUUAUCCUUAGUGGCAACAAUACAAAGGUGUGUCCUUGUCCCUUUCUAUCACUGCGAUAUAAAACUCUGCCAGAUUGAACCCACUACAAUGCACCCUUCUCAUUGAAGAAAUAUCAAUCUAGUUGGCCAAACUAUUUCAAUGGAUCGGAGAGAUUUAUGAAGCUACCAUAAUCAUGCAAAUAAGAAUCAUAUCAGAAUUCAAAGAAGACUCAAGUCUUUAUCAUGAGGAAUCUAAACAUAAACCCACAAUUCAUCGGAUCCCAACAAAUGCACGGCACACAAGAAUUACAUCGGAUAUAUCAAAGCGAAGAUGCCAUGAUCAUUGUAUUGAAGAUCAAUAGAGAUAGAGAGAUAGCCAUCUAAUUACUAACUCAUACAUCUCCAAUGUAUCUAUAAUUCUUUAUCGUUCCAUGAUAUAAUAAUAUUAUUUUAGGAUGCUUUUUGGGUGUUUAUAUACCGGUUGUUAUUAUUUUUGACCACUAACCUAUUGACCCAAUGCCUAGUCCCAGUUGAUGCGUUCUGCAUGUUUUUGGCUUUUCAGGUUCACAAUACCAAACGAAGUCCAAUUGCCCCAAAACUUUGUUAUGAUUUUCUAUGGACCAAAGGAAGACCUGGAGGCAUCAGGAGGAGACCAGACGCUGCACAAGGGAGGCAACAAAGAACAACACGCCAAGGGGGUGGCCGCACCUUGAUGUGUGUUGGCCCCCCUUUGCGGCCCUUAGAACAACUCUUCAUCCUAUAAAUUUUCAAAUACCCCCAAUACCCUAGGGAUCCACUCGAGACACCUUUUCCGCCUCCACAAGUCUCUGUUCCACCAUGAGGCCAUAUGGAGCCCUUUUCCGGUGCCCUACCAGAGGGGGGUCAAUCAUAGAGGACCUCUACAUCAACCUUGCUGCUCCCAUGGUGAUGUGUGAGUAGUUUACCAUAGACCUAUGGGUCCGUAGCUAGUACCUAAAUGGUUAUCUCACUCUCUCUUUAUCUUCAAUACAAUGAUCAUCACAUCUUAUGAUCUAUCUGAUGUAAUCCUAUUGUGCGGUGCGUUUGUUGGGAUCGGUUGAAUUGUGGGUUUAUGUUCAAAUUAUUCAUGAUAAAGAUAUGAGUCUUCUCUGAAUUCUAACUAUGAUUCUUAUUUGCAGAUUAUGAUAGCUUUGUAAAUCUCUUCGAUCUAUUGAAAUAGUUUGGCCAACUAGAUUGAUAUUUCUUCAGUGAGAGGGGUACAUCGUAGUGGGUUCAAUCUGACGGGUUUCUUUAUCCCAAUGAUAGAAGCGGACAAGAUACGUCUUUGUAUUGUUGCUACUAAGGAUAAAACAAUGGUGUUAAUUCAUAUUGAUUGAGUUCUAUUUGUCUACAUCAUGUCAUCAUUAUCCAACCAUUACUUUGUUUGUUAUGAACUUAAUACAUAGAGAGGCAAGCAUAGAAGCGCUCUUGAAGUGGAGUAAUAGUAAUAGGUGCACGCAGAAGUCGGCCUAUUUUCUUACACACGUGAUGCCUAUCACUAUAGGGAUCCGGUUAUUUGCCAUUUGCCAUAGCAUAUGGCAAAGGACCAGUCCACGGAUGGCAAAGGUCUUUGCCAUCUGCNNNNNNNNNNNNNNNNNNNNNNNNNNNNNNNNNNNNNNNNNNNNNNNNNNNNNNNNNNNNNNNNNNNNNNNNNNNNNNNNNNNNNNNNNNNNNNNNNNNNNNNNNNNNNNNNNNNNNNNNNNNNNNNNNNNNNNNNNNNNNNNNNNNNNNNNNNNNNNNNNNNNNNNNNNNNNNNNNNNNNNNNNNNNNNNNNNNNNNNNNNNNNNNNNNNNNNNNNNNNNNNNNNNNNNNNNNNNNNNNNNNNNNNNNNNNNNNNNNNNNNNNNNNNNNNNNNNNNNNNNNNNNNNNNNNNNNNNNNNNNNNNNNNNNNNNNNNNNNNNNNNNNNNNNNUUGCCAUCUGCGAGGACACAUCGGGCGACAAAGAAACUAUUACCAAUUUAAUCAAUGACUGUGAAUUUAGAUCGGGUUGGUACAUGGCUUUGAUUAAUCAAAUCACUUUGUCGGCAAUUGAUUAUAGCUUUCAUGGGUCAGCUUUGCAGCUGAACUACGAACAAUGUGUGCUACUAAUGUUGCCAGACUUUGUGCCGAGAUGAGGGUGACCUAUACAUAUAUGGUAAUGGUAAUGUUCAGUUUCAUAACUAUAAAGUUGUUACGUACUUGAAUUUUCUACCAUGUAUGAUUUUCUGAAGAUGGUAGAGGGAUGUCUAGCAAUUUAUUUUUCUUUUCUUUCACUAGUUAGUUGAUCGAUGUAGUUGGGAACCUAGAUUGGUUUUCAUUAGAAGCAUGCCUGAAUAAGUGUGAUUCUCUUGCUGUGCUGCCAUUGCCCACAACUCUCUCUCUGGUUCCUCCUCGGCUUCAUGGCUAUAGCUACUGGGUUUUAUCUUCGAUAUGUUGUCAUGGGUUUCCAUCGUAUGUAUGUGUCGCUGCAGGUGCUAUGGCUGCUGGUUCCUUGGUCACCAGUCUCGAGCAGCUUGUUGCUUGCUAUUCGGUCGCUCGGUAUUGCGGUUGUUGGCCAUUCCUACAAGCAUGCUCAUUAAAAUUAUACAAACUAAGCGAUGUUUCAGACCUCAGAUUGUUUAUUAUCUACAUGUAAUUUGUUUCCAUUUCCCCCUUUUAGGUUAUUGUGCAGCUGUAGAUGAAGAUUUGGCAGCAGAUCAGAUGAAGGCUGAGAUAAUGUUCAUCCAAAGGCUUUCCUUAAAUGAGAUUUUUUGCAAGCUAAUUGCAUACGUAAAACAUGUUCAGAGUUCAACAAGCACAAAAGGAUAAAGAAGAUAAAAAAUAAUCAUUGGUGAUAUAGAAUUUGGGAAGGAAACAAAACACAAAAUUGCAAUGAUGAAGGUUUGUAUACUUUCGACGUCAUGUACGUUUAUUUUGAAAUAUCAUACAUGUGCUUGCACAAAAUAUUCUGAAAGUUGUGAUGGUAAUAUAAUUAUGCAAUACUCUUGUUCUGUUGUUCGACAAUUAUGAUCAGAAACGAAUGCGAGCCAUCAAUUUUGUUUUGUCCAUCAAGACUAAAAAAACAUGGACAAUCUCCAUAUUUUUUAGUGUGGCACGACAUUGUAGACAAAGUAAUGACUAGUAGAUUCUUUUUUUCCAGGAAAAUAACUAACAAGUCUAACUCAUCAUGUUGGUCAUGUUGGUCAUGCUCAUGUUUUGCAGUAUUCGAUGAUGUAUAAAUAUAGUAGUCGAUGAUAAUGAGAAUAUUUACAAGCAUGAACCUGAUUGUCCAAGGCGUUUCUCGGUUGCAACAUCAUAUAAGGGAGCACUAACCAUGUUGGUCAUGCUGAUCUGUUUUUUCCUCCAAAUUUUUUGCAUUAUAUAACUAUCGUAAUUUACCACAACAUGAAAUUGGCUUCAAUAUUGAUGUACCUUUUAUGCUUCUUAGUUAGAAAUAUGAACCAAUAUUGAGGUUGUGUAAUGGGACAUGGUAGCUUUUUUGAAAAGUUUUAUUUGAAAAGGAUGGGACAUGGUAGCUCAUCACUAGACUUGACAACAUAGUCCUCGAGGGAAAAAUCAUCACUGAAACUAAUAGAUGAUAGUGUAUGAGUAUUCCUCGGAUUGUCUUGACUUCCCCCACUUUGGAAUGAUUUAAUAUACUGUUGUUUUUUAUUAAUUGUUUUUGAAAUAGCUAACCACUCAUUUCAAGUGAUUAAUAUACUGUUGUUCAUCUUCUUAGUUCAUAGUUUCCUUUUCCUCUUGUAGAAAAAGGUAUCGUCUUUCUGUCGUGGUUCUGAUGUUAUAACCAUGCUUGCUAUAGUGAUUCUGAUUUUACGACCAUGCUUUCCUUAUUUCACUACGUCCUCUAUCGUUGUAUAGUUGUCUACUGCUUGUACUCUGUUUAUCUCUACCCAUGAGUUCUACCUAUACCACAGUUACGGUGCCUAUCUAUGGACUAUUGAUUUUGCUAAUUGACAGGUAUUCCUCUACUCACACGGACUUUGUCAAGCAACUACGAGCUUCAACCGGAAAAUCAAGGGAAGGCUGUCAGCUUUGCUGCACAAAUAAGCUAAAUAUCGACCUUAUUUUGUGCAGGCCUCAAUUUCCGAGUUCAAUUUCUGAGUUUAACUGUGGCAUAUACUUCAUCUAUAUAAAUAUAUAGGUUACUUUUGACUUUUCUAUGUCAUCUUUAUUUUCAUAUGUCAAGAUAGUAAAAUAUGGAAAAAAUAACAAGCUUAUUCGGUUAUGUUGGUGCUGGAUUAAUACUUUUGUAUUUGUUUGUUGUCAACUCUUAAGAUUUCUUAUUAGACGCGCAACUACAUAAAUCUAUAAAGGUGAAAUUAUGGACAUCACCUCGAACAAAGUCCCACGUGACGGCAUCAGUAGAUAUAGAAGAAACCAUGAAUAGUUUGAGCGCAGAAAGUAUCAGCAAAAGUUGUAGCAAAAUUUAAAUGGACAUUAUCAUGGGCAUGACGUGCGUUGUGCUCCCGGCGCUUGUCAUGGGCUAAAGCGGCUAGAUGGAAUUCGUCGAACAGGUGGUGGGCGGUGAGACUGACCUGGUCUAGGUUAGUGAACUGGAUGUCGUGGCAGUGAAGGAU